GCUGGCUAGGCACUUUAUUAGAGGGCAGUCAGGUCUUCAUGGUCUAGCGACAGGUCCGGAGAAGUGAGGGGAAAUGGAGCAUCUCCCUGGAAACGCUGGGAUCUUAGAAGGUUUCUGCAUACCCAGAUGUGGUUGCAGCUGAGGCUGAGAGUGUCUUCCGUUCCGGCCUUGCUGGAUAACGCAUGCCUGCCAACUCUAUGUAAACAAAAAGCCUGCAUUCUUUUUCCCUAAAGGGGAAAUCAGUGUUUAUCUAGCGCCCCCUAGCUUCAGACGCCUUUCAUACACUCGUUUAAUCACGGCGAUUGUCCAAAUAUAGAAUUCUCCUCUCAAUUACCUGUAAGAGUUGAGGUCAGAGAGAGUAAUUUGUCUAAGUCACGUAGCCAACUGUAAAGUUACUUUUUGUAUAGUCUGCUUCUACCAAGUUGAGAAACUACUAUGUCAAGUUAAGACUGCAGUAAUUUCUGCCUUAAUAAGAAACCUUUAGUGGAUUCCUACAGUCUGCAUUCUGAAGUCCGUGAGUUACAUUAGGCCCUAGCCUACCUUUUCGGCUUCAUCUUCCCCCUUUCUCAGUAUUUAUCCAGCCCUCCUAGCCAAAUGGGGUCUAUUACUUGCUUAGGGAACUGGAGUUUCUGGGUUUGUCUUACCAUAUAUAGUUAGAGAAAGUCUUAGGAGUCAGAACUUGGAUUUGAAUCUGUUUUGCCCUUUCCUGCUUGAGUAACCUUGAGACUUGCUUACUGCCUACAGAGCUACCUUUUCUUCUCUAUAAAAGAGCAAUAAUAAUAGUACCUCCUCAAAGAGUGGUAAUAGGGAUCAAAUGAGAUCAUCUUUGUAUACCAUUAUUUGGUCACUUCAUACUUCCCUCAGUUUGUGUGUGUGUGUGUGUGUGUGUGUGUUUUAAGUGUUGUCUCUCUGAAUGGCUCAAAAGUUCCUUGACAACAGAGACCAGUUUUUAAAAACUGUGUACUGUGCGUUUCAUAUAUGAAUAUAAAAAGUGUUCAAUAUUUGCGGAUGGAUUACUUCUCGGGCUUCAAGUCCAGGGAGUGGAGAAAGAAUGAAGAAAUUAUCAAAGUGUGUUUCCCAUGACAGAAGCAGGGCAGUGUGGUGGUGAUUUUGUGAUCUAGGUUGAAGUCCCUGAUCCAUCAUUUAUCAUAUAUGUAAAA
rnacentral:lncRNA from 1 species